CCACUUGACUUGACGGGCACGGCCAUGACCAGCCAGUCCCAGGGCAUCCACCAGCUCCUUCAGGCAGAAAAAAGAGCCAAGGACAAGCUGGAGGAGGCCAAGAAGAGGAAAGCAAAGCGGAUAAAGCAAGCGAAGGACGAGGCGAUGGUGGAGAUCGACCAGUACCGGAUGCAGAAGGACAAGGAGUUUCGGAUGAAACAGUCGAAGGUGCUGGGCUCCCAGAGCAGCACCUCGGAGGAGAUGGAGGAGCAGACGCUGGAGGCGAUCAGGGGCCUGCAGGGAAGCUACGGCAAGUGCGCGGAGAGCGUGCUCACCCAGGUCCUGAGCAUGGUGUGUGACGUGAAGCCCGAAAUCCACGCCAACUACAGAGCUGCCGACUGAAGGUGCGGCCCGCUGCCCCCCGGAGUUGCCGGGGCACGCGCCCUGUUGCUUGUGGCGGCGGCGGCGUGUUGCCAUUGAGAAGUUUGGGAGGUCUUCCCCCAGCAACGGAACAACCCGAGGACGUGAGGGCCCUGCCCUCCCCCCGUCUGGACCCUGUGCCUGACCAGAAACCCCUCUGUGGACCGCCUGCUCAUCCCGAUGGCACCUGAACACACAGCCAGGCCCUCCACAGAAAUGCGGAUGGGCCCUGGCUGGUGUGGCUCAGUGGUUAGAGUUCCGGCCUGAGAACCAAAGGGUCGCCGGUUCAAUUCCCAGCCAGGGCACAUGCCUGGGUUUCGAGCCAGGUUCUCCAGUAGGGGGCACUCG